rnacentral:rRNA from 1 species
AGAGUUUGAUAAUGGCUCAGGUUGAACGCUGGCGGCAGGCCUAACACAUGCAAGUCGAGCGGCAGCGACAACAUUGAACCUUCGGGGGAUCGGGUGUGAGUAGAGCGGCGGACGGGUGAGUAACGCGUAGGAAUUUGCCCAGUAGUGGGGGACAACAUGUGGAAACGCAUGCUAAUACCGCAUACGCCCUACGGGGGAAAGCAGGGGAUCUUCGGACCUCUCGCUUCUUGAUUAGCCCAAGUGAGAUUAGCUAGUAGGUGAGGUAAAGGCUCACCUAGGCGACGAUCUCUAGCUGGUUUGAGAGGAUGAUCAGCCACACUGGGACUGAGACACGGCCCAGACUCCUACGGGAGGCAGCAGUGGGGAAUAUUGCACAAUGGGGGAAACCCUGAUGCAGCCAUGCCGCGUGUGUGAAGAAGGCCUUCGGGUUGUAAAGCACUUUCAGCGAGGAGGAAAGGUUAGUAUUUAAUAAAUGCUGGCUGUGACGUUACUCGCAGAAGAAGCACCGGCUAACUUCGUGCCAGCAGCCGCGGUAAUACGAGGGGUGCAAGCGUUAAUCGGAAUUACUGGGCGUAAAGAGUACGUAGGUGGUUAAAUCAGUCGGAUGUGAAAGCCCCAGGCUUAACUUGGGAACUGCAUUUGAAACUGGUUAACUAGAGUUUUGUAGAGGGUGGUAGAAUUUCAGGUGUAGCGGUGAAAUGCGUAGAGAUCUGAAGGAAUACCAGUGGCGAAGGCGGCCACCUGGACAAAGACUGACACUGAGGCGCGAAGGCGUGGGGAGCAAACGGGAUUAGAUACCCCGGUAGUCCACGCAGUAAACGAUGUCUAUUAGAAGUUUGUGGCUAUAUGCCGUGGGUUUCAAAGCUAACGAAUUAAAUAGACCGCCUCGGGAGUACGGCCACAAGGUUAAAACUCAGAUGAAUUGACGGGGGCCCGCACAAGCGGUGGAGCAUGUGGUUUAAUUCGAUGCAACGCGAAGAACCUUACCAUCCCUUGACAUCCAGAGAAUCACCUAGAGAUAGAUGAGUGCCUUCGGGAACUCUGAGACAGGUGCUGCAUGGCUGUCGUCAGCUCGUGUUGUGAAAUGUUGGGUUAAGUCCCGCAACGAGCGCAACCCUUAUCCUUACUUGCCAGCGGGUUAUGCCGGGAACUUUAGGGAGACUGCCGGUGAUAAACCGGAGGAAGGUGGGGACGACGUCAAGUCAUCAUGGCCCUUACGGGAUGGGCUACACACGUGCUACAAUGGCAGAUACAAAGGGUUGCCAACUCGCGAGAGUGCGCUAAUCCCAUAAAGCUAGUCGUAGUCCGGAUCGCAGUCUGCAACUCGACUGCGUGAAGUCGGAAUCGCUAGUAAUCGUGGAUCAGAAUGCCACGGUGAAUACGUUCCCGGGCCUUGUACACACCGCCCGUCACACCAUGGGAGUGGGUUGCAAAAGAAGUGGCUAGGCUAACCUUCGGGAGGCCGGUCACCACUUUGUGAUUCAUGACUGGGGUGAAGUCGUAACAAGGUAGCCCUAGGGGAACCUGGGGCUGGAUCACCUCCUUU